rnacentral:rRNA from 1 species
AUUGAACGCUGGCGGCAGGCCUAACACAUGCAAGUCGAACGGUAACAGAAAGCAGCUUGCUGCUUUGCUGACGAGUGGCGGACGGGUGAGUAAUGUCUGGGAAACUGCCUGAUGGAGGGGGAUAACUACUGGAAACGGUAGCUAAUACCGCAUAACGUCGCAAGACCAAAGAGGGGGACCUUCGGGCCUCUUGCCAUCGGAUGUGCCCAGAUGGGAUUAGCUAGUAGGUGGGGUAACGGCUCACCUAGGCGACGAUCCCUAGCUGGUCUGAGAGGAUGACCAGCCGCACUGGAACUGAGACACGGUCCAGGCUCCUACGGGAGGCAGCAGUGGGGAAUAUUGCACAAUGGGCGCAAGCCUGAUGCAGCCAUGCCGCGUGUAUGAAGAAGGCCUUCGGGUUGUAAAGUACUUUCAGCGGGGAGGAAGGGAGUAAAGUUAAUACCUUUGCUCAUUGACGUUACCCGCAGAAGAAGCACCGGCUAACUCCGUG